UACGUAGGGUGCAAGCGUUGUCCGGAAUUAUUGGGCGUAAAGAGCUCGUAGGCGGUCUGUCGCGUCUGCUGUGAAAACUCGGGGCUUAACCCCGGGCCUGCAGUGGGUACGGGCAGACUAGAGUGCGGUAGGAGAGACUGGAAUUCCUGGUGUAGCGGUGAAAUGCGCAGAUAUCAGGAGGAACACCGGUGGCGAAGGCGGGUCUCUGGGCCGUAACUGACGCUGAGGAGCGAAAGCAUGGGGAGCGAACAGG
rnacentral:rRNA from 1 species